UACGAAGGGGGCUAGCGUUGCUCGGAAUCACUGGGCGUAAAGCGCACGUAGGCGGAUUGUUAAGUCAGGGGUGAAAUCCUGGAGCUCAACUCCAGAACUGCCUUUGAUACUGGCGAUCUCGAGUCCGGGAGAGGUGAGUGGAACUGCGAGUGUAGAGGUGAAAUUCGUAGAUAUUCGCAAGAACACCAGUGGCAGAGGCG
rnacentral:rRNA from 1 species